AUAACGGGACCCUUUCUGCACCUAUUCCUAUCUGUUAUGAUAACUGUGAAAUAGAGGCAAUUCCUUUCUCAGAUCAACCAACGGCUGGUUCUUUGAACCAUAAUGCAAGUAUUGUUAUAGCCUGUAACAUGGGUUACUCUACCGGUAUGGGCACUUCAACAGAGCUCAUGUGUGAUAACGGGACCCUUUCUGCACCUAUUCCUAUCUGUUAUGAUAACUGUGAAAUAGAGGCAAUUCCUUUCUCAGAUCAACCAACGGCUGGUUCUUUGAACCAUAAUGCAAGUAUUGUUAUCGCCUGUAACAUGGGUUACUCUACCGGUAUGGGCACUUCAACGG